rnacentral:rRNA from 1 species
CCCAGUAAACGGCGGCCGUAACUAUAACGGUCCUAAGGUAGCGAAAUUCCUUGUCGGGUAAGUUCCGACCCGCACGAAAGGCGUAACGAUUUGGGCACUGUCUCAACGAGAGACUCGGUGAAAUCAUAGUACCUGUGAAGAUGCAGGUUACCCGCGACAGGACGGAAAGACCCCGUGGAGCUUUACUGUAGCCUGAUAUUGAAAUUCGGCACAGCUUGUACAGGAUAGGUAGGAGCCUUUGAAACGUGAGCGCUAGCUUACGUGGAGGCGCUGGUGG